rnacentral:rRNA from 1 species
CGUGGCUAACUACCCUCUGGACGGAACUAACCCCGGGAAACUGGGGAUAAUGUCCGAUAGGUGAAGAGGCCUGGAAUGGUUUUUCACCCAAAAGACGUUGGGACCAUGCUUUUCAACGUCGCCAAAGGAUGGGGCCGCGACCGAUCAGGCUGUUGGCGAGGUAACGGCUCACCAAACCUAUAACCGGUACGGGCCGCGGGAGCGGGAGCCCGGAGAUGGGCACUUAGACAAGGGCCCAGGCCCUACGGGGCGCAGCAGUCGCGCAAACUCUGCAAUACGCGAAAGCGUGACAGGGCUAUCCCGAGUGCCGUCCGCUGAGGAUGGCUUUUCUCUGGUGUAAUGAGCCGGAGGAAUAAGGAGAGGGCAAGUCUGGUGUCAGCCGCCGCGGUAAUACCAGCUCUCCGAGUGGUAGGGACGAUUAUUGGGCCUGAAGCGUCCGUAGCCGGCUAAGCAAGUUUCCUGUUAAAUCCAGCGAUCUAAUCGUUGGACUGCGGGAAAUACUGCUUGGCUAGGGGGCGAGAGAGGCCAACGGUAUUUCCGGGGUAGGGGUGAAAUCUUAUAAUCCCGGGAGGACCACCAGUGGCGAAGGCUGUUGGCUAGAACGCGCUCGACGGUGAGGGACGAAAGCUGGGGGAGCGAACCGGAUUAGAUACCCGGGUAGUCCCAGCUGU